GUCCUUGUAGCUUACAACAAAGCAUGGCACUGAAGAUGCCAAGAUGGCUGUUAAACACACCCAAGGACA
rnacentral:tRNA from 1 species